UCCCGUUUUUUAUACAGUGAUUAAUUAUACCCCUAGACACCUAUUAGCAUGGCAGAUUUUUAUUUGUUCUUUACACUGUGGGGAGAAGAACAUUAUUUAGUCUCGAAGGGUCGUGACACCCCCCAUGUACCCUAUACCCUUCCACAUGUACCCUAUACCCUUCCACAUGUACCCUGUACCCCCCAUAUGCACCCUGUACCAGUUAAAUGUACCCUGUACCCCCCAUAUACCCUAUAACCCCGCACAUGUACCCUGUACCCCCUGGCUGGGAACCGCCUGACAUCCUAUAACACAUCCUUGAGACAUACUCCAGGCGCUCGAGGAGUACCUUGGGGAGACGGAGACAGGAAGAGCGAGGAAGGUGACGGGAAGUCUUGUUCUGAGGACGAGAGGAGCGCCGAGGACCCGUCCCGCGUCACGUGGUGAUCGUAGAGGACGCCACUUGUGCAGAAUAAUAUUCUGAACAACGUCAUCCUGGAGAUUUGCUUUGACGACUCUUAAGGUUGGAUGAAGUGCAGCUAAGGCUGAGUGUGGCACUACAGCUGACCCAAACUGGCCUGUGACGCUCCUCUACCCCACUUGUAUCAUGCCAGAGCCUAGUCCUUAAUGUCUGGCCUUCAACCUUAAAAACUCUGGUCCGGCCAACUACAGCCAGACGACGAGGACUCUCUACUGGACAUCUACGACGACGGAACAAAACGAUGCACUGCCCGUCAACACUCGGUCUUCCGAUCUAAGAGCUCGCUUGCCGAUUGCACCUCGUGCUGUGAUAAUGGUAUGAUAAGACACAGCUCUUUAAGAGCUACAAGCACUUUGCCCCAAGAGUGUAACACUUAAGCACAGCAUACAUGUUAAUCUGUAAUGUUACACGUGAUUCUAUAAUUUGUAGAUUUGUACUCGCUGGAUUUGUGCGCCCCUUUAGAGACCUGACGUAGAAGAGGGUAGAAAUAGCCUAAGCUGCUCUUUAGAAAUGUUUUUCUCAAUAAACUUACUUAAACCUUG